ACAUUGGAAACUGCCUUUGGGCAGGGGAAGUAGCUCAGUCCUGUAUGCUGUGCAAACACAUGGGCCUGAGUUUGAUGUCCAGAACCCAUGUAAAGAAAGACUUGGCUCUGGUUGCUUGCACUUGUCCUGGGGAGACAGAUGUGUUGCCAGUGCUCACUGUCGGGACACUAAUUCAGCAAUAAAGUAGACUUGGAGAAACUGUGGUCCGCCUACCCAAGCUGCAGUUGCCCUGCCCCGGUGCCCAGACCAGCCUGCAUGAGCAUGUGUGGCAGGCCUGCCUCUAUGACCAGAGACUGCUGACAGAGAGACACCUGAUCCAGAGACCAAUGAGGAAAGGACACGCAGCAGACUCAGCCACCUGAGCCAAUAGGACCUUGGGAGGGGGUAUAAAGGCAGGUCUAACUUCCUUAAUAAAUGAGUCUCCAGCAUGCUCUGCCAUUCAUUGACUCCC
rnacentral:lncRNA from 1 species